GCUGCUGCUGCUGCUGUUGCUGCUGCUGCUGCUGCUGCUGCGUCUGCAGCAGCAGCAGACACAGAGGGCCGCUGCAGCAGAUU
rnacentral:snoRNA from 1 species